UUUGCAAACAGCCACAAAGAUAAAUUAACAUCCAUACAGUUUAACUCUAUCUCUAAAGAGAGAGGAAUGAAGCCUCAGAAAUGCUGAAAUACAAGACUGUGCAGGGUUGUACCACACACACACAGGAAAAAACAACUUUGUUUUGGUUCCUUGAGCUCUAAGUUAGAUACUAAAAAGGAAAAUUAUUAAAUGAAGGUGCAAACAAGUUUCUAUAAGGCACAAGAAGACUUGCUAUCCUUGACUGAACAUUA